ACUUCCUGGAGUACAGUCUGUGCUAACAGACUGAUGGCUGGUGACUUUUUGGUCACCAGCCU
rnacentral:sRNA from 1 species